ensembl:lncRNA ZEB1-AS1 ZEB1 antisense RNA 1
CGUGGGCACUGCUGAAUUUGAAUUGAGGGGCGAGGGAAAAGUUUUCCUCAGGUGUGGUGGGGAGAGGGAGGCGGAUGCCGGGAAACCGUAGGGACGCGGUCAGAAAGGCGACGGGCUGUCGGAGUUGGAAAGGGACGCCUGGUUUCCCCCCAAGCGAACCGGGAUGGGAAGUGACUUCAAUGAGAUUGAACUUCAGCUGGAUUGAAAGAGAGGCUAGAAGUUCCGCUUGCCAGCAGCCUCCUUAGUAGAGCGGAAUGAGUAAUACCCACACGGUGCUUGUCUCACUUCCCCAUCCGCACCCGGCCCUCACCUGCUGUCACCUCGGCCUCCCACACCCGGUCCGCGCUCCCCGCCCUCUUCCUCGCGUAGAACCGUGGGAUCCUAGGUGGCAGGACUCAGAGCUAAGGUAUCCACAGGCCAUGAAUUCCUUCCUAAAUGAGCGGUCAUCGCCGUGCAGGACCUUAAGGCAAGAAGCAUCGGCUGACAGAUGUGAUCUCUGAACCUGAUAGAUUGCUGAUUUUAUCUUAUUUUAUCCUUGACUUGGUACAAGUUUUGGGAUUUCUGAAAAGACCAUACAGAUAACCA